GCGCGAAAACUUUACAAUGCUGGCAACAGCGAUAAGGGAACCUCGAGUGCCAGGUUACAAAUCUGGCUGUCGAGAUGCCUAAAAAGCAUUUCAUAGCAAGGGCCGGGCAAGACCGGUGCCAGCCGCCGCGGUAACACCGGCGGCUCGAGUGGUAACCGUUAUUAUUGGGUCUAAAGGGUCUGUAGCCGGCCGGAUAAGUCUCUUGAGAAAUCUGGCAGCUUAACUGUCAGGCUUUCAGGAGAUACUGUCUGGCUCGAGGCCGGGAGAGGUGAGAGGUACUUCAGGGGUAGGGGUGAAAUCUUGUAAUCCUUGAAGGACCACCAGUGGCGAAGGCGUCUCACCAGAACGGACCUGACGGCAAGGGACGAAAGCUAGGGG
rnacentral:rRNA from 1 species